UGGGGAAUAUUGCACAAUGGGCGCAAGCCUGAUGCAGCCAUGCCGCGUGUGUGAAGAAGGCCUUCGGGUUGUAAAGCACUUUCAGCGAGGAGGAAGGUGGUGAGCUUAAUACGCUCAUCAAUUGACGUUACUCGCAGAAGAAGCACCGGCUAACUCCGUGCCAGCAGCCGCGGUAAUACGGAGGGUGCAAGCGUUAAUCGGAAUUACUGGGCGUAAAGCGCACGCAGGCGGUUUGUUAAGUCAGAUGUGAAAUCCCCGGGCUCAACCUGGGAACUGCAUUGAAACUGGCAGCUAGAGUCUCGUAGAGGGGGUGAGAAUUCCAGGUGGUAGCGGUGAAAUGCGUAGAGAUCUGGAGGAAUACCGGUGGCGAAGGCGGCCCCCUGGACGAAGACUGACGCUCAGGUGCGAAAGCGU
rnacentral:rRNA from 1 species